CUUUUUUUCAGGAUAAUUGAUGUAAAGCCAAAUAAGACUUUUAACGACAGUUAACAUUAAAAAAACGCGUAUUACAAACAUAAUGGUCCUAGACCUACUGAUUUCGACCUUCUCUACUAUUGGUAGCCUAUAUACCUUCGUGGAUAAUGGAGUUCUAUGAAGUUUUGUUGCUGUACUAAUUUGAGUGUCUACACCGCAGGUCUAAUUGGAGUGAGGUAUGCUACAAUCCAACACAGUUUUUUAGGUAUUCUAUUCUUAUAAAGAAAAACAUCGGAAAAAUUCCUCUAGGAAUUUGAAUAGGAAUAAUCGGAGGAAUUACUAGAAUAAUUGCUGCAGUCUUUUUUGACGUGAAUUCUUUUGACGUGAACUAACUUUUGAAGAAUCCAUGGAGCCUUGGAGAAAUUAUUUUAGAAAUGUUUGGAAGAACUGCAGGAGUAAUUCCUGCAUGAAAUGUUGAAUAAAUUUGAUAGAAUUGUCUUGAUGAACAUCUUUAAGGUUCCUUUAUCUAAUUUAUACUGAGGAAUUCCUGGACAAAAGCUUUAUAUUUCUGGAAUAACCUCUGGAGACUUAGGAUGAGGACAAAAAAAACUACUGUUUCAAUGAAACUGGAAUAAACUGUUGUUGAUUUUCAUGAAAAAAACUUGUAUAACUGAAAAAAUAAAUCCUGGGAUAAUCGCUCAAAAAUACUUUCAGAGUAAUUUUAGUGGAAAACACUGAAAAAUUUCCUGCAGUAAAUUCCUUCAAGUAUCUUUUGAGAAAUUAAUCCAGGAGCAAUCAUCGAAAAAAAUCCUGAAGCCUUCCCUUGGGGAAUCUGAGAAAUUUCUAAAGAACCUCAAUGCCUUCAGCGAUUCCAUCAGAGAUUUUUAUAAGAAUUUCAUUCAAGAUUUCUUUCAAAAACUCCUAAAAACUUCCUUGAAAAAACACAAAGGAUUCUCCAGGAUUAGUUACAGAAUUUAACCAGAAUAGUAUGGAAUGUAUGAGAUUCUUCAAGAAUUUUAUUCAGUGAUUCAGGAUCAGGAAUUCUAGGGUUAAUUCCUAGAUAAAUACCGGAUUUUUUAGCCAUUUCUGCAAGAAACGCUAGGGGAAUUCAUGCUAGAGAAUUAUCAUGUAUGAGUUCCUAUAGGAACUUUUAAAAGGAUUUCUUAUUAUCGAACAGAUUCUUAGUACGGAUGUUGUCUAAAGGUGGACUAACAUUGUUAUGGUCCAUAGUCUUAUUUUAUUACUACAUGGCAUACAAUUCGUUAAAAGUAGUAAAAAAAAACAAUACAAUCCAUAACAAUUAAUUAUUUCCUUCUUCGGAGCUAGGAGCGACUGAUUAGAAAUAGGAACUUUAUAAGCCCAUGCCAGAAAAAAAAGACCAAGAAGGAUCCAGAAAGAAACCAAACAAGAACAAAAAUAAACAAA